CAUUUUAAAGCUUCAUUUAUGAAAGUCGCUCGACAGCUUCCGCUGAAAUCCCUCCUGCGCGCGGCCAGGGGAGCCGGUUCCCGCCUCUGGCCUCCCGUGGUCUGCGGAGAAACCGCAGGAAUGAUUUUAUUUUUAUCAAGCUACCUUCAUUGUCAGUUUCUUCUGGAUCACAGAAUACUGUUUGAUUCCGAUUAUCAUGUUUUUCAUGUUGGAAACUUUCCUUAAAUUAAUGGACAAUUGUUGGAGUGAACUGUUGGACGAUCACUCAUAUAAAGAAUGAAGCACUGAAAGAAGUGUGUGGGUAGGUCCUGUCAAUUGGUGACUUUCACUGCAAGUUAAUCAGGUUAAUAAGGUGAAGUGUCCUAUUUGUAGAAGAAUCUCCAAAUGUUUGGAUCUGAAAAUCUUUUGCUCUGGGAAUAUUAAAGUGCUAUCCAACAGUAAA